AUGGCCAUCGCGGAGGCGUCCCCCUUCGCGGACCUGCCCUUCCCCGACGACCUGCCGGAGUUCCCCCACCCGGGCGACGACGCGUUCGCCCUGGACGGCUUCGAUCUCGACGAUCUGGACAUCGACUUCGACUUCGACCUCGACCUCGACCUCCUCCCCACCGACGACGUGCAGCUCCCGUCGCCGCCGCCGCCGCUCGCCACGUCCUCGUCCUCGGCCGGGUCGCCGGGCGGGGCAGGGGACUCCUCCUCCGGCUCCGGUGGCGGAGCGGACGGCGGCCUGAAGAACGACGAGUCCUCGGAGACGUCUUCCAGGAGCGCGAGCGCUGGGAGCGACGACAAGGCUAGGGAUGGAGGAGAGGGUGAGGACGCCAAGCGGCGCGCGCGGCUGGUGCGGAACAGGGAGAGCGCGCACCUGUCGCGGCAGAGGAAGAAGCAGUACGUGGAGGAGCUGGAGGGGAAGGUCAAAGCCAUGCAGGCCACCAUCGCCGAUCUGUCCACCAGGAUCUCCUGUGUCACCGCCGAGAACGCUGCUCUCAAGCAGCAACUGGCUGGCGCAGGUGGUGCAGGGGUCCCGCCGCCGCUUCCUAUGUACCCAGGAUUGUACCCUUUGCCACCGCCAUGGAUGCACCCGGCUUAUGCGAUGGGAGCGCGCGGCUCCCAAGUGCCGCUCAUGCCGAUACCUCGGCUGAAAACCAAGCAGCCUGCGUCGGCUGCCGCAGAGCCACCGGCCAAGAAGUCCAGGAAGACCAAGAAGGUUGCGAGUGUCAGCCUCCUUGGAUUGUUGUUACUGAUGAUGCUCUGCGGGUGUUUGGUUCCUGCGGUAAAUCGGAUGUAUGGAGCAGUUGAUACUCGAGAAGGAAUUGUGCUUGGUCCAUCACAAUCACGUCAUGGGAGGGUUCUGGCUGUUGAUGGGCCUCGAGAUGGUGUCUCGGAAGGUGUUGAUUCGAAGCUGCCACAUAAUUCAAGUGAAAAGCUCCCGGCGUUGUUGUAUAUUCCAAGGAAUGGGAAGCAUGUCAAGAUCAAUGGAAAUCUUGUUAUCCAGUCUGUUGUUGCGAGUGAGGAAGCUUCUUCGCGCAUGUGUCACUCUGAUGGGAAGACUUCAUGUAACCAAGGGCAAGAAGAUACUAGUUUGGCAAUUCCUGGCCAUGUUGCUCAGUUGAAUUCUGGAGAAGUCAUGGAAUCUGCCAAAGCAAUAAAAAACAAACUGAUGGCUUUACCUCCUGGAGAUGGAAGCAUAUACAGAGACGAUGAUGAAUUACUGCCACAAUGGUUUAGUGAAGCAAUGUCAGGUCCUAUGUUGAGCUCCGGAAUGUGCACCGAAGUGUUCCAGUUCGAUAUAUCACCGACCACCAUUGUUCCUGUCUACUCCAGUGGUAUGCACAACGCAUCACAUAACUCCACGGAGAACCUCCCCUCCAGUCAGUCCCAUAAGGUCAAGAACAGAAGGAUUUUACAUUCCAUGGCCAUUCCCCUAAAAAGUUCAACGUCCAACCACACCGAUAACCUCAAAGCGCACCCCAAGAACGAGAGCUUUGCUGGAAACAAACCGGCUUCAUCGGUGGUGGUCUCUGUCCUGGCUGACCCUAGAGUGGAUGCUGAUGGAAGGAUCUCUUCGAAGUCAUUGUCGCGUAUAUUUGUUGUGGUCCUUGUUGACAGUGUAAAGUAUGUCACUUACUCUUGCGUCCUGCCGUUCAAAACCCAUAGCCCUCAUCUGUGA
rnacentral:rRNA from 1 species